GCUCCGAUGGCCUAGUGGUUAGAGCGUCCACCUUGCUUGCGGGAGGUCGUGGAUUCGAUCCCCGGUCGAGUCA